CCCCGAACACAUGGAGUACAUUCCUUAUAUAGCACUAUAGCUCCUCCCAUAAAUAGCUACACCCACACAUACCCUCAACCAAUCAAUGAACAGAGUCUAAACUUGCACAUCCGGUCUGACCACGUGGCUCAUACGAAACAAAGGGGAAGGGAGUGUGAUUUCAGUUCGUACAUUCCUGCACAUGCUCAGUACACGGAUGACAGUAUCUUAGCUACGUGCAACUAACUAACUGAUACUACAAACACAUGUACCUACAUAUGCCAUGUGGCAAUCUUGGCCUACUAAACUUUUAUUUUACUGGAAUUCCAUCACACCUACACAUUUCACCAAGCAUGUGAGGACUGCCCCUUUAAAGUAGAUGAUCAAAGGCAAUUAAUCCAAAAAUGCACUAAACUGAAAAUCAGUUUCAACAGAACUAGAUGUCCCUAUACACCCGAUCUUCAGACCUUGUAUUACUAGUAAAAAUAAAUGUUCUUCC